GACGAAGUACUUCUUCAGGCCUUUCUGCAUCCCUCCGCCGGCAGGUAACGGCCACGUCCUCGGUUCGGUCAGUCAGCAGCUCCGCUCAGAGCCGCAGCACGAGCUCCACAGGGUCCAUGGUCCUGGAUCCUCACAGGACAGCAGAGCAGCGGUCCAGCAUCAGUCCUCCAGAGUUGUAGGACGAGAACAAACCCAGUCUACCUGGCAGGUCCAGAUGGAGGUGAUGAUGUAGCUGCUGUCCUGGAAGACGUUGAAGAUCUCAAUGAUGCCUCUGGAGUAGCCGAACACGGAGAUACUGGCGUCGGAGAUGGCCAGGUUAAGGGUCAGGUAGUCGGUGGGCUGCAGGGUGGCUCUCUGUCUGUAAAGGACGAAGAGGACGAUGCUGUUUCCAAACCAGGACAACCACCCUGAACACACCACAGAGACAGAGACACACAGUGUUUACACCUGAACACACCACGGUAACACAGUUUAAACUGUCAGGCAGCUGUUUCACUAACUUCUCAUUCUGCAGUAAAUCCUGAAGUCACAGUGAUGUCAUCACUGAUGUCACAGUGAUAGACUGUUCUUUGUCACCCUGACUGGCUCUGUGAUAUUCAGUCUGACAGCAGGAGGAUUCAUUCUUUCAGUGAGUUACAGAAGAAGCUUGUCUGCAGCCAAGCAACAAAACAGAUAAGACACUGUUCUCCCCAGCCACUGCCCACAGAGCAACUGUGGAAACUACACCACAGAAGAAAAGGUGUGUGUAGCAGCGUGUGUUACAGUGUGUUACAGUGUGUGUAGCAGUGUGUACUCACCCAGCAGCAGCAGGUACACUCCGAUGAUGGUCUCUCCCUGGUCAGACAGAGGAGGGUCUUUGCCCCCUGCCAGGAUGAAGCUGUUGUUCCUCCAGGGAGGUCCGUCGGCUGCUGGGCUGAUCCCUGAC